rnacentral:rRNA from 1 species
CAGCCGCCGCGGUAAUACGUAGGUGGCAAGCGUUGUCCGGAUUUACUGGGUGUAAAGGGAGCGCAGGCGGACAUAUAAGUCCAUCUUAAAAGUUCGGGGCUUAACCCCGUGAUGGGAUGGAAACUGCCAAUCUAGAGUAUCGGAGAGGAAAGUGGAAUUCCUAGUGUAGCGGUGAAAUGCGUAGAUAUUAGGAAGAACACCAGUGGCGAAGGCGACUUUCUGGACGAAAACUGACGCUGAGGCGCGAAAGCCAGGGGAGCGAACGGGAUUAGAGACCCCUGUAGUCCCUGUCUCUUAUACA